GGGUUUUUUUGUAAAUACUUUUGACCUUGUCCAUAGUGUAUUUGGACCUCGGGGCUCCAGCGGUUAAGGUGAACCCUCAUCAGUUGAAUUACAGCCCUGGAUUGCUGGAGAAUUUCCCAGAGUAAAUAUUCUCAUUACUUUCAAAGGCUGUGCAGCAUUUUGUGAUGGUGCCCGUUUCUCAAGGCAGAGGGAUGGAAAUCUGGUCUCGACUGCUUUUAUGAACAGUGAAAUGAAUCCUUCCCAAAAGUGUCAAUCACCAACGCUUUAAUUCACAGUCACGUCUGAUCUGAUACUCUCUACCGUUCCCUUAACUCCCUCAGCCAUCUGUCUCAAGAGGGCUCGAGGUGCCAAGAUUUGAAGGCUUACAACCUCAACAGCCUCUUAGUGAAACUAACACUGGACUGAUACUGGAGGCUCAUGUGCCGGACUUUGGAUCUGAUUCUAGAGUAAAGGCUGGCACUGGCAAAGAAUGGGACUCCGGAGUACUGGGA